AACUUGAGAGUUUGAUCCUGGCUCAGAACGAACGCUGGCGGCAGGCUUAACACAUGCAAGUCGA
rnacentral:rRNA from 1 species